rnacentral:rRNA from 1 species
UGGGGAAUAUUGCGCAAUGGGGGGAACCCUGACGCAGCCAUGCCGCGUGAAUGAAGAAGGCCUUAGGGUUGUAAAGUUCUUUCGGUAUUGAGGAAGGUUGAUGUGUUAAUAGCACAUCAAAUUGACGUUAAAUACAGAAGAAGCACCGGCUAACUCCGUGCCAGCAGCCGCGGUAAUACGGAGGGUGCGAGCGUUAAUCGGAAUAACUGGGCGUAAAGGGUACGCAGGCGGUUAUUUAAGUGAGGUGUGAAAGCCCCGGGCUUAACCUGGGAAUUGCAUUUCAGACUGGGUAACUAGAGUACUUUAGGGAGGGGUAGAAUUCCACGUGUAGCGGUGAAAUGCGUAGAGAUGUGGAGGAAUACCGAAGGCGAAGGCAGCCCCUUGGGAAUGUACUGACGCUCAUGUGCGAAAGCGUGGGGAGCAAACAGGAUUAGAUACCCUGGUAGUCCACGCUGUAAACGCUGUCGAUUUGGGGGUUGGGGUUUAACUCUGGCGCCCGUAGCUAACGUGAUAAAUCGACCGCCUGGGGAGUACGGCCGCAAGGUUA